GCUGGCGGCAUGCCUAACACAUGCAAGUCGAACGGGGUUUAUAUGACGGAACUCUCCGGAGGGAAGAUAUAUAAACCUAGUGGCGGACGGGUGAGUAACGCGUGGGCAACCUGCCCUGUACCGGGGGACAACAGCCAGAAAUGGCUGCUAAUACCGCAUAAGCCUGCUGUGCCGCAUGGCACAGCAGGGAAAACCACGGUGGUACAGGAUGGGCCCGCGUCUGAUUAGUUAGUUGGCAGGGUAACGGCCUACCAAGACAACGAUCAGUAGCCGGCUUGAGAGAGUGGACGGCCACAUUGGGACUGAGACACGGCCCAGACUCCUGCGGGAGGCAGCAGUGGGGAAUAUUGCACAAUGGGGGGAACCCUGAUGCAGCAAUGCCGCGUGGGUGAAGAAGCCCUCCGGUGCGUAAACCCCUGUCAGCAGGGAAGAAAAUGACAGUACCUGACCAAGAAGCCCCGGCUAACUACGUGCCAGCAGCCGCGGUAAUACGUAGGGGGCAAGCGUUAUCCGGAUUUACUGGGUGUAAAGGGAGCGCAGGCGGCGUGGCAAGUCAGAUGUGAAAACCCGGGGCCCAACCCCGGGAGUGCAUUUGAAACUGCCAUGCUGGAGUGCCGGAGAGGUAAGCGGAAUUCCUAGUGUAGCGGUGAAAUGCGUAGAUAUUAGGAGGAACACCAGUGGCGGAGGCGGCUUACUGGACGGUAACUGACGCUGAGGCUCGAAAGCGUGGGGAGCAAACAGGAUUAGAUACCCUGGUAGUCCACGCCGUAAAC
rnacentral:rRNA from 1 species